rnacentral:rRNA from 1 species
GACGAACGCUGGCGGCGUGCUUAACACAUGCAAGUCGAGCGGUAAGGCCCUUUCGGGGGUACACGAGCGGCGAACGGGUGAGUAACACGUGGGUGACCUGCCCUCAGCUCUGGGAUAAGCCUGGGAAACCGGGUCUAAUACUGGAUAUGACUCCAUGACGCAUGUUGUGGGGUGGAAAGCCUUGUGCGGCUGAGGAUGGGCCCGCGGCCUAUCAGCUUGUUGGUGGGGUGAUGGCCUACCAAGGCGACGACGGGUAGCCGGCCUGAGAGGGCGACCGGCCACACUGGGACUGAGACACGGCCCAGACUCCUACGGGAGGCAGCAGUGGGGAAUCUUGCGCAAUGGGCGAAAGCCCGACGCAGCGACGCCGCGUGAGGGAUGACGGCCU